UACGAAGGGGGCUAGCGUUGCUCGGAAUCACUGGGCGUAAAGGGUGCGUAGGCGGGUCUUUUAAGUCAGGGGUGAAAUCCUGGAGCUCAACUCCAGAACUGCCUUUGAUACUGAAGAUCUUGAGUGCGGGAGAGGUGAGUGGAACUGCGAGUGUAGAGGUGAAAUUCGUAGAUAUUCGCAAGAACACCAGUGGCGAAGGCGGCUCACUGGCCCGGUACUGACGCUGAGGUGCGAAAGCGUGGGGAGCAAACAGG
rnacentral:rRNA from 1 species